rnacentral:tRNA from 1 species
GGGGCUGUAGUGUAGCCUGGAGAAGAUAGUUAUCUUCGAGCAACUAUCACUAACGGUUUGGGACCGUUGAACCCCGGUUCGAAUCCGGGCAGCCCCA